AUUGAACGCUGGCGGCAGGCCUAACACAUGCGAGUCGAACGAGUGGCGGACGGGUGAGUAAUGUCUGGGAAACUGCCUGAUGGAGGGGGAUAACUACUGGAAACGGUAGCUAAUACCGCAUACCAUCAGAUGUGCCCAGAUGGGAUUAGCUAGUUGGUGGGGUAACGGCUCACCAAGGCGACGAUCCCGAGCUGGUCUGAGAGGAUGACCAGCCAACCUGGAACUGAGACACGGCCCAGACUCCUACGUGAGGCAGCAGUGGGGAAGUUUUCACAAUGGGCGCAAGCCUGAUGCAGCCAUGCCGCGUGUAUGAAGAAGGCCUGCGGGUUGUAAAGUACUUUCAGCGGGGAGGCGUUACCUGCAGAAGAAGCACCGGCUAACUCCGUGCCAGCAGCCGCGGUAAUAC
rnacentral:rRNA from 1 species